UUUGACCUUGUGUGGAUGUUGUUGUAUUUCUGUAUUUGUUCUCUUCUUAACCGUCUUAUCACCACAGCGUUGUCCCCUGUGGAGCAGCAGAUGCAGGAGUUGUACCCGCUGCUCCAUCAGCAGGACGAGGAGGACAGACUUGAUGACACUCAAUGGCCUGACCUGUGCCCCAGUCCGGAUGAUGAGUAUAAUUCUGACUAAAGCAACAUCUUGUUCCUCCCUGUGUAAAUUCUUUGUAGUCAUAAACAGGAACUCGCAGCUGAAAAUCGAGAGAAGUGGCUGAACUAGAGGGACUAUGAGAAUUUGAGUAAAGUAAUGAUAAACAGGAGGGAAAUGUUAGAAUAAUGUGCAUAAAUGUAUAUAGAAGUUAUCAUUAUUCCUCAUAUUCAUAUGUAAGAGUUUAUACUACAAGUAUAAACUGCUUUGACAUCUUUUUAUGCAUUAUAUAAGAGUAUUUUUAUCAUAUAAGAGUGUUUCCUAACUUCUCUCUUCAAUAGCUUAACUACACAGUACACAAUGUUUCUUUCAGUUUUCUGUGACCGUGUUUUUUUCCUAUCAGCAGGUGUGGGUGUGGGGGUGAAGUAUCCUCCGCUGUGAAUCAUGGAAAUUAGAAGAGGAGCCGCUCUUAUCAGAAGGAGUUCGUUAGAUGCCGCCUUGACCUUCACAUAUUCACAGUUGUUCAUUAUUAUGCUUUAUGAGAGUGCUUAUGUUGCUACACAAAUUUUUCCCCACCCUUUAGAAACAUUGUGUGACCAGGGAGAACCCUAAAUAAAAGAGACUGGGCGGAAAUACCUUUCAGAGUGGUUUCGAGAUGGUACCUGAAGCUAUCUCGGUCCAUUCUCCUCGAGUAUAUACCAUUGUCUUUCUCUUCUUUAUAUGUUAUCAGGUAAAUGUUGCAGGUUUUAGACCCAACAGAUAUGAAUACAGCUCUUGGUCUUGCACCCUCACUUAAGCUCAUAUGGUUCUGGCUGCCACUGUAUCAACUGCUGGCAUCAAUCAAUCAAUCAAAUUUUAUUUAUAUAGCGCCAGUUCACAACAGUCGUCAUCUCAAGACGCUUUUUAAAGAACAAGAGCAGGUCUAGACCACGCUCAUUGUUUGAUGAUCAAGAACCAACCUAAGAUGGGUUUUGGCCCAUCUCAAUUAACAUGAGUAGCAGUGGCAAGGAAAAACUUCCUUUUAACAGAAAACUUGGGCAGGACCCGACUCAUGCCAGACAGCCACCAUGCCGCUGCUGGGUUGGGGAGGAAUGUAGAGAGAUGGAGGGAGAGAGAGAGGGAGAGAGAGAGAGAGAAGAGGGGAGAAGGCAGGGGGAGAGAGAGAGAACAAGAUAAGGGGAAGGAGAGAGAGAAUGAGUAGGGAGGGGGAGGGAGAGAGAGUAGAGAAUGAGGGUGAGAGAGAGAGACAGGGGACACCAGAAACAACAGCAACAACAACAGCUCAUGUAAUGGUGAAGUAGGCAUGUGGCUGUGUAGAUGUCCAGUGCAUCUGUUAUGGCUAUUGUUGUUUGUAUGUGUUUUUCCCUCUUUUGCCUUCUGUAGAUCUGUCAGAUGGAGUUGCUGAUUGGCAAUCAGCUUCACCUGCUCCUUAGGGUGUUUUAAGUUAUAACGUGGAAAUAUUAAGCCAUCUUGUGUUAAUUUAUCAUUGUUUAAAACAAUCUGUCAGUACAGAUAGGGACAUAGCGCAUGGUUGCGAUCAGGGGCGGAUCUACCGGGGUGGCAUGGGGUGGCAAAAGCCACCCUAAAAGACAGGCUUGCCACCUCAGUUGGCAGCGACAAAUUAAAUGGCCAAUUUGACAUUUAUGAGUGUGAAUCUCCAUUUUCCAACUGCAUUGAAUGCAGCAUGAGAUUGCAUCAGAGCGGGGGUCGCGACGCAGCUGGUGUUGUGGUGGUGUGCCAGCGAGAGGAGGGACUUUUUUAAUUGGUAAAAGCUAAGGAGCCAGCCAGGAGUCGCAAAAAAGGAGACACGAGAGGAACGAGGUAAAAACUGAUUAACUAUCAAUAAAUGAAUUUGUAAUAAAGGCACAGUGCUAGCACUGCGGCAAUGCUGAUAUUGAGAUUGUGUUGAAGAAUGUAAUUUUGCUAAUUUUAAGCUAGGCUACAUGUGCAUCAGCAGCUAGAUCCUGUGUAGGCUAUGAAAGCUAAUAUUGAUUCCAUAUCUGGCAGGGUAACAUAAAUAAAAUAACUCCAAAUCUUGCAGAAAUGAAGAGGAAAGGCAACAUUAUAAGUUUUUUUUUUUCACCAAAGACAAAGAAAUAGGUGGGAGAAAUAGAAAACAAGGUAGACACACACGACAAGAAGGAUGAAGAGAGAGACCAGGUGGACGGAGAGAGAGAAGAGUUGGAAGGACAGAGGGAAGAUGAAGAGAAAGUGAAAGAAGGGAGAGAAAGGCACGACAAAUGUCACAGUAGUAGAACAGCAGGCCAAGGUGACCAGGGACAUAAGGAGGUGGCGGGAGAAGAAUAUGUGGAGCAGGGGAGAACAUCUCCGAUGAGAAGGCAGAGGAGAGACAAGACAAUGUGCAGGACCCAGACAGUGAGAGGGAGAGGGGAGAGCAUGAGUCAUCAGCAACCAUCUCCAGUCGAGCUGGUCCAGAUGGUAAGGGAAGUAGACAGUGACAUUGCUCGGACUUCUUCAAAUAAAUAUGAAAAUGUGUGUUUGCUUUAAUAUGAAUAAUUAGGGAAACUUAAUUGUAAAAAGUGUGAUGACGUGGGGACAGCGCUUUAGUAGUUUGUGAACAAUGUAUUUUAGAUCCACUGCUGAGGUUAACUUCCAGAAUUAAACAAAUGGUAGUGUGUUGACAAAUAAAAUUUGGAUGGAAGAAUCUUAAGGCCAGGGUAACAAUGGACCAUGCUGAAGCCAAAAACCCACAAACACGCAACAAGCCCUUUCAAAGGGGAGAUUACACAGAUGUUGUCCUCCAUAUCAUUGGAGGUGAAAAGUCGCAAGCUCUGCAUGGUAUUCAAGGUGUUGUUGGGGAUGGCAAGCCUGGGAUUGAGGAGGAGAGUCAGCCAGUUCCUCCUCUCUGUGCUCUCUGAUCCAAAAA